rfam:Parcubacteria bacterium DG_72 WOR1_52_54_144, whole genome shotgun sequence.
GCGGGUGUCGUAUAAUGGCUAUUAUUUCUCCCUUCCAAGGAGAAGACGAGGGUUCAAAUCCCUUCACCCGCU